GUAGGACAGCAGACUUCAUAAUGCUUUGGUGGUUAUUUUCCUCCUCUCUGCUAAAAUACACAAGUUCUAACCUAGUAUCGUGCAGUUUACACACACAUACAUAAAGAUGUCCCCACAACUAAAAACUUUAAUGUUUUACUUCAUCACAAAUUUUUAUAUAAUUUUUUUUUUUUAACAGACAGGGUCUCACUGUGUCACCCAGGCUAGAGUGCAGUGGUGCAAUCAUAGCUCAGUGUCACCUCAAACACCUGAACUCAAGCGAUCCUCCCACCUCAGCCUCCUGAGUAGCUGGGACCUCAGGCACAUGCCACCAUGCCUGGCUAAUUGUUGUUGUUGUUAAGAGAUAGGGUCUCACUAUGUUACAAAGGCUGGUCUCAAACUCCUGGGCUCAAGAGAUCCUCCUGCUUUUGCUUCCCAAAGUGCUGGGAUUAAAGGCAUGAGCCACCAUACCCAGCCCUUUUAUAUAAUUUGAGUAAAAGUAAAAUAAUUACUAAAAAGCACUUAAUAGUCUAGAAAUAUCCACCAGAACUGGAUACCUAAAUUAUCUAUAUAGAGUAAACAUGGGUACUAAAUUAGACAACCCCAUCAACUUUAUGUUAAAUGGCCAAAUUGCCCUAAGCAAAGGGUAUCUGAACCAAGGGCCAGUGAUAGUCCUCUGUUAGAGGCAGUUUUGUGGUCUGAAGAGUUUCUCUAAAGGGCUGAGACUAUUCGGAAGAGGGAUCCUCUGUUACCAAAUCGUGCUAUUGAACCCUGAACACAAAGUACACAUAUAUGCCCUGCAUCUAGCCUUGAUAUUUCUUCUGCUCAAGUCAAAAGACUCCGGAAGCAACAGCUUCCACCUUCAAGCAAUCCAGACUCAAAAAGCCAUCAAAACUAAGAAUAGCAAAAGCUACCUUCUUGAUUCAGUGAAGUUGCUGCUAGCACUAAAAGAAAGAGAAAUUACACUUUUGUUCUUCAGAUAUGGUUAAAACAAAGAAAAUGUUGUCAACAUUGACACCAACAUAGACAUUUGCUCUAUAACAUAUAAACUGUCUUUUAGACAGGUUAUGUUAAAAAUAUCAGAAUGCCAUUUUUGUAAAGGAUCUUUUUUAGGAUAGACGUGGUCUCAUGCUUCCUUUGUUCACCUCCAUUUUAAAGGAGCAUUGUAACCCCUAUCCUCACCCCUACAAAAAUCCAGUGGAUGCACUUCCAAAUUACUUGUCAUUUUAUAUGUGUUAUGUUUAUUAUGAGCAAUUUUCACUGGAUGAUGAGAUACAUGGCGAUACUAUGUCAGUUUAUUCUCUGUGAAUGUGUUUGUACAUAGACAGGAAGCUAUUUAUUUGUACAUAGGCUGUUUGGAGUACGUACUUCUGUCUCACAUGGACUUCAUUCUGAUAAAGGGUGUUUCUUGUUGUUUCACUGUCCACACCUUUGUGCUUCUACUACUGAUAAUCAAUUCAUAGAAUAUCACUUUAUAUAACUAAGUCUCCUCAGUGUGAAAAAUAAUAGAAAUAAAAUUAUUGACUCAAA
rnacentral:lncRNA from 1 species